CCAGUUCACCCAGCUGGUCCAACGCCAACGCCGGCCCCAGAACCCAAGACUCUGCCGCUCCAGCUGCCUGUGCUGAGCCCGUUGCCGAAAGCCGACAAGCUGCUGGAUGCUAACCCAGGAUACUCCGCUGGUCCCACGACUACGCCUGCUCCGCAGCCUGAGGCUCUGCCAUUGACAACAACAAUCAAAGUUACGGUGGUGCCUUUAGAUUUGGUUUUGCAGGCUGGACGUAAUGAUCAAGGCCCUCUGGAAGCGCGACACUGCCCUACAGUGACAACAAAAGACCAAGAAACCCAGUGGGAAGCUCUGGAACUAGAGGACCAC